rnacentral:lncRNA from 1 species
AAAUCUAAAAGUAAUGAUUAAAGGUUUGUUUUUCUUUGUCUUGUAUAUGUAAAUCAAAAGGUCAAAAGUUAAUUUCUCAUUAUGAUGCAAUGUCCCUUUGUUUUUAUUCAACUUUCUCUCUUUGUCUUGUAUAUGUAGUUUUAAUGCGCCCUAAUCCAAAAAAAUGGGAAAAAAAAGGGUGAAAAUUACGUUUCUGCCCAUGACUAAAAUUUGCUAAAAACGUUUUCUUUUCUUGAGGUGUCAUUGAUAAGCUUUAACUUGUCGUUAUUUCUAUUUCCUGUUUGCAUUUUGUUUUUCUCAUUUUCAGUUCUUUAAAAUGUUUUUCAUAUUUUAGGUUUAAUAUUUUCAAAUCUAUCUUUAUUGAUUGAUCUUCGGGUUGUGUUUAGUUGGUUGAAUUUUCAAAUCUAUCUUUAUUUGUUCUCUCUAAUAAAAAAUCUGCGUUUGAAGCUAAUUUGAUGAGAUUCGUUGAAAGGUCACAAAGUUAAAUAGUGGUUAUUGAUCCAUCCAACGAUGGUUUGAUAAAAUCAAUUAAUUAUGUAUUCUAUCAAAUUCGUCAAAUGUUGUAUUGAAUUUUUUUUUUUUUUUUUUUUUUAUAAAUGAUUAAUUUAUUUUUGUAAAGAG